rnacentral:rRNA from 1 species
CCUACGGGUGGCAGCAGUGGGGAAUAUUGCACAAUGGGCGCAAGCCUGAUGCAGCCAUGCCGCGUGUGUGAAGAAGGCCUUCGGGUUGUAAAGCACUUUCAGCGGGGAGGAAGGCGGUGAGGUUAAUAACCUCAUCGAUUGACGUUACCCGCAGAAGAAGCACCGGCUAACUCCGUGCCAGCAGCCGCGGUAAUACGGAGGGUGCAAGCGUUAAUCGGAAUUACUGGGCGUAAAGCGCACGCAGGCGGUCUGUCAAGUCGGAUGUGAAAUCCCCGGGCUCAACCUGGGAACUGCAUUCGAAACUGGCAGGCUAGAGUCUUGUAGAGGGGGGUAGAAUUCCAGGUGUAGCGGUGAAAUGCGUAGAGAUCUGGAGGAAUACCGGUGGCGAAGGCGGCCCCCUGGACAAAGACUGACGCUCAGGUGCGAAAGCGUGGGGAGCAAACAGGAUUAAAUACCCUGGUAGUC